CGGCGUGCUUAACACAUGCAAGUCGAGCGGAGUUAAUUGGAAGCUUGCUUUUGAUUGGCUUAGCGGCGGACGGGUGAGUAACGCGUGAGGAAUCUACCAUAAUCAGGGGGAUAACAGAUAGAAAUAUCUGCUAAUACCGCAUAAGACCACAGUACCGCAUGGUGCAGGGGUAAAAGAGUUAUGUAUCGGAUUAUGAUGACCUUGCGUCCUAUUAGCUAGUUGGUGAGGUAACGGCCCACCAAGGCGACGAUAGGUAGCCGACCUGAGAGGGUGAUCGGCCACAUUGGAACUGAGACACGGACCAAACUCCUACGGGAGGCAGCAGUGAGGAAUAUUGGUCAAUGGACGCAAGUCUGAACCAGCCAUGCCGCGUGCAGGAUGACGGCUCUAUGAGUUGUAAACUGCUUUUGUAUGAGGGUAAUAUCAGGUACGUGUACCUGCUUGAAAGUAUCAUACGAAUAAGGAUCGGCUAACUCCGUG
rnacentral:rRNA from 1 species